rnacentral:rRNA from 1 species
UAAUGGGUCAGCGACUUAUAUUCAGUGGCAAGGUUAACCAUCUAGGGGAGCCGUAGGGAAACCGAGUCUUAACUGGGCGUUCAGUCUCUGGAUAUAGACCCGAAACCAGGUGAUCUAGCCAUGGGCAGGUUGAAGGUUGAGUAACAUCAACUGGAGGACCGAACCGACUAAUGUUGAAAAAUUAGCGGAUGACUUGUGGCUAGGGGUGAAAGGCCAAUCAAACCUGGAGAUAGCUGGUUCUCCCCGAAAGCUAUUUAGGUAGCGCCUCGGACGAAUACUACUGGGGGUAGAGCACUGUUAAGGCUAGGGGGUCAUCCCGACUUACCAACCCUUUGCAAACUCCGAAUACCAGUAAGUACUAUCCGGGAGACACACGGCGGGUGCUAACGUCCGUCGUGGAGAGGGAAACAACCCAGACCGCCAGCUAAGGUCCCAAAUUACUACUAAGUGGGAAACGAUGUGGGAAGGCUCAGACAGCCAGGAUGUUGGCUUAGAAGCAGCCAUCAUUUAAAGAAAGCGUAAUAGCUCACUGGUCGAGUCGGCCUGCGCGGAAGAUGUAACGGGGCUAAGUAGUAAACCGAAGCUGCGGCAAUAUACUUUUGUAUAUUGGGUAGGGGAGCGUUCUGUAAGCGGUUGAAGGUGUGUGGUAACGCAUGCUGGACGUAUCAGAAGUGCGAAUGCUGACAUGAGUAACGAUAAAGGGGGUGAAAAACCUCCUCGCCGGAAGACCAAGGGUUCCUGUCCAACGUUAAUCGGGGCAGGGUAAGUCGACCCCUAAGGCGAGGCCGAAAGGCGUAGUCGAUGGGAAACGGGUUAAUAUUCCCGUACUUCUUACAAUUGCGAUGGGGGGACGGAGAAGGCUAGGUGGGCCUGGCGACGGUUGUCCAGGUUCAAGUGCGUAGGCUUAAGAGUUAGGUAAAUCCGGCUCUUUCUAAGGCUGAGACACGACGUCGAGCACCUACGGGUGUGAAGUCAUUGAUGCCAUGCUUCCAGGAAAAGCCUCUAAGCUUCAGAUUGUAAGGAAUCGUACCCCAAACCGACACAGGUGGUCGGGUAGAGAAUACCAAGGCGCUUGAGAGAACUCGGGUGAAGGAACUAGGCAAAAUGGUACCGUAACUUCGGGAGAAGGUACGCUCUUGAUGGUGAAGUCCCUUGCGGAUGGAGCUGACGAGAGUCGCAGAUACCAGGUGGCUGCAACUGUUUAUUAAAAACACAGCACUGUGCAAAAUCGUAAGAUGACGUAUACGGUGUGACGCCUGCCCGGUGCCGGAAGGUUAAUUGAUGGGGUUAGACUUCGGUCGAAGCUCUUGAUCGAAGCCCCGGUAAACGGCGGCCGUAACUAUAACGGUCCUAAGGUAGCGAAAUUCCUUGUCGGGUAAGUUCCGACCUGCACGAAUGGCGUAAUGAUGGCCACGCUGUCUCCACCCGAGACUCAGUGAAAUUGAAAUCGCUGUGAAGAUGCAGUGUACCCGCGGCUAGACGGAAAGACCCCGUGAACCUUUACUACAGCUUGGCACUGAACAUUGACCCUACAUGUGUAGGAUAGGUGGGAGGCUUUGAAGCACGUACGCCAGUAUGUGUGGAGCCGUCCUUGAAAUACCACCCUUGUAGUGUUGAUGUUCUAACGUCGACCCCUUAUCGGGGUUGCGGACAGUGCCUGGUGGGUAGUUUGACUGGGGCGGUCUCCUCCCAAAGAGUAACGGAGGAGCACGAAGGUGGGCUAAUCACGGUUGGACAUCGUGAGGUUAGUGCAAUGGCAUAAGCCCGCUUGACUGCGAGAAUGACAAUUCGAGCAGGUGCGAAAGCAGGUCAUAGUGAUCCGGUGGUUCUGAAUGGAAGGGCCAUCGCUCAACGGAUAAAAGGUACUCCGGGGAUAACAGGCUGAUACCGCCCAAGAGUUCAUAUCGACGGCGGUGUUUGGCACCUCGAUGUCGGCUCAUCACAUCCUGGGGCUGAAGUCGGUCCCAAGGGUAUGGCUGUUCGCCAUUUAAAGUGGUACGCGAGCUGGGUUUAGAACGUCGUGAGACAGUUCGGUCCCUAUCUGCCGUGGGCGUUGGAAGAUUGAAGGGGGCUGCUCCUAGUACGAGAGGACCGGAGUGGACGAACCUCUGGUGUUCGGGUUGUGUCGCCAGACGCAUUGCCCGGUAGCUAAGUUCGGAAUCGAUAACCGCUGAAAGCAUCUAAGCGGGAAGCGAGCCCUGAGAUGAGUCUUCCCUGAUACUUUAAGUAUCCUAAAGGGUUGUCGGAGACUACGACGUUGAUAGGUCAGGUGUGUAAGUGCUGUGAGGCAUUGAGCUAACUGAUACUAAUUGCCCGUGAGGCUUAACCAU